rnacentral:rRNA from 1 species
GAUGAACGCUAGCGAUAGGCUUAACACAUGCAAGUCGAGGGGCAGCAUUAUUUUAGCUUGCUAAGAUAGAUGGCGACCGGCGCACGGGUGCGUAACGCGUAUGCAACCUGCCUGUAAUUAGGGAAUAACCCGGUGAAAGUCGGACUAAUACCCUAUAUUCUUCUUUCUCCGCAUGGAGGAGGACGGAAAGAUUUAUUGAUUACAGAUGGGCAUGCGUCCCAUUAGCUAGUUGGUAAGGUAACGGCUUACCAAGGCAACGAUGGGUAGGGGGACUGAGAGGUUGACCCCCCACACUGGUACUGAGACACGGACCAGACUCCUACGGGAGGCAGCAGUGAGGAAUAUUGGUCAAUGGGCGAGAGCCUGAACCAGCCAAGUCGCGUGAAGGACGACGGUUCUAUGGAUUGUAAACUUCUUUUGUAGAGGAAUAAUGGCAGCUACGUGUAGCUGAGAUGCAUGUACUCUACGAAUAAGUAUCGGCUAACUCCGUGCCAGCAGCCGCGGUAAUACGGAGGAUACGAGCGUUAUCCGGAAUUAUUGGGUUUAAAGGGUGCGUAGGUGGCGUAUUAAGUCAGUGGUGAAGAGCUGCAGCUCAACUGUAGUCUUGCCGUUGAAACUGAUAUGCUAGAGAGGAGACGAGGUAUGCGGAAUGUGUGGUGUAGCGGUGAAAUGCAUAGAUAUCACACAGAACGCCGAUUGCGAAGGCAGCGUACCAGGCUCCGUCUGACACUGAAGCACGAAAGCGUGGGGAUCAAACAGG